rnacentral:rRNA from 1 species
GUCGAGUGUUUGAGAGGAGCUUGCUCCCGGAUGUUCCGGCGGACGGGUGAGUAUGGGUGGGUAACCUGCCUGAGGGAGUGGGACGAUCGAGGAUGCGGAGACGAUACCGGAUAGUCUCUUGAACCGCAUGGUGAAUGGAUGAAAGACGGUUUCGGCUGUGACUUACAGAUGGACCCCCAUUUUAGUAUAUAGGUGGUGGGGUAUUGUCUCCUUUCGGUUACUAUGCAAAGCCGACGUGAGAGGGGGAUCGGCCACACUGGAACUGAUGCACGAACCAUACUCGUACCGGAGGCUUCUGUGAGGAAUCUUCCGCAAUGGACUAAAGUCUGACAGAUUCUCGCCGCGUGAUUGAUGAAAGUUUUCGGAUCUGACGUAUCUGUGGUUGUGGAAUAUUUUAUUUUUUAUGGCUGUCGACCUCUUNNNGGUACCUAACCAGAAAGCCACGGCUAACUACGUGCCAGCAGCCGCGGUAAUACGUAGGUGGCAAGCGUUGUCCGGAAUUAUUGGGCGUAAAGGGCUCGCAGGCGGUUUCUUAAGUCUGAUGUGAAAGCCCCCGGCUCAACCGGGGAGGGUCAUUGGAAACUGGGAAACUUGAGUGCAGAAGAGGAGAGUGGAAUUCCACGUGUAGCGGUGAAAUGCGUAGAGAUGUGGAGGAACACCAGUGGCGAAGGCGACUCUCUGGUCUGUAACUGACGCUGAGGAGCGAAAGCGUGGGGAGCGAACAGGAUUAGAUACCCUGGUAGUCCACGCCGUAAACGAUGAGUGCUAAGUGUUANGGGGUUUCCGCCCCU